rnacentral:rRNA from 1 species
UACGUAGGUGGCGAGCGUUGUCCGGAUUUACUGGGCAUAAAGGGAGCGUAGGCGGACUUUUAAGUGAGAUGUGAAAUACCCGGGCUCAACUUGGGUGCUGCAUUUCAAACUGGAAGUCUAGAGUGCAGGAGAGGAGAAUGGAAUUCCUAGUGUAGCGGUGAAAUGCGUAGAGAUUAGGAAGAACACCAGUGGCGAAGGCGAUUCUCUGGACUGUAACUGACGCUGAGGCUCGAAAAGCGUGGGGGAGCAAACAGGGAUUAGAUACCCU